CAGGAGGACCGGGCGGUCGCUGCCGGAGAUCUCUGUGAAAGCAGGGGUGGCCGGGAGAGGAAAGUCCGAACUCCGCAGGGCAGUGUGCCGGAUAACGUCCGGGACGUGAGCGUAAAGGCUCACGGACGGCCAGUGCCACAGAAAACAUACCGCCUCUGCACCCUCCUUUGGGGGGCGUUCGGGGCUCCCGAUGGACUUGUCCAAGGGGCUGCCCCACGCAGUGGUAAGGGUGAAAAGGUGCGGUAAGAGCGCACCGCGCUGGCAGUAAUGUCAGUGGCAGGGUAAACCCCACACGGAGCAAGACCAAAUAGGGAGGGAAACCGGGGCCAGGAGCCAGGCGCCGGUUGCGCAUCGGCCCGAUGCGGCAAGGCGGUUCCGGAACACGCUAAAACCUCCGGGUAGGUCGCUGAUGAGCGCCCGCGGCAACGCGGCGCCUAGAGGAAUGACCGCAUAAAACAGAAUUCGGCUUACGAGUCCUUUUGCCGA
rnacentral:RNase_P_RNA from 1 species